CAUAUGUCCCGCCCCUUUAGAUUGUGCCCCCCAGUAUAGGAGGCAUGAGUCAUCUUUGAUCCUGAGUCUGUCUCUGCUCUGCAUUACAGGUGUGUGCUAUCUGAGGUAAUAAAGAAUUCUGUGCCUUCAGAGGACAGAAUCUGAGUUUUUGAAGUGUCUUACAGCUCCUUGUCCGUCUUCAGUUCCCUGUAGCCUCCGAAGGAGCAAAUCACAACUCCCCUUUCCAAGGAAGGAUUUAAAGUUCAUUAGAAAUCACUAGAAGAACCAGUUUCCAGGGCAUGACAACCUUCCAUUUGAAGGGCAAGAGGUCAACUCAACAAGGAGCAGUUUCAAAAGGGAGUACAAAUCUAAGAGUGUCAUGAGUUGAAGAAGAAGAGAACAAUGUUACAGCACAAAGGUGUGUGAAACUCUGAUGUAGAUGGUAUUGAACAUCAUAGAAAGAAGGAUAAUGUCCUAAAUUUUGAUUGUACAAAGAGUGCAUCUUCUCAGGAAUGCCUACUUACUCUUUAAUGAAGUAUGAAAACUUUUGAUGUAAUAUAUAUAACAACGGUACAAUGAUUCAAGAUAUGGUUAAAAACAAAAAGGUCUGAUUACGGAUAUUAACAAAUGAGUGUUCACAUCUAUCUUGAGUAGAUGAGUAUACCACCAUGUUUCCUAGUGAGCAUAUUGUAUUACAAUGGAACAUCUUAACACUAGGUCACUGAGGAACUUCACUUCAGUAAAGGCUACUACAGCAAUCAAGAAAACUGGAGCAGAAAGUGUUUGUCGGAAAAAUACGGGAAAGUAAUCUUAGACAACAGUUGCAAUUCACUAUAAAAACAUAGUAGACAUUUAUGCUGGAUGCUGUACAUAAUAUUCUAAAAUGUCUGGCAAUUCAUUUCACUUUAGUUAAUAUUCAGGAAGUCUGGGUGCUCAUGCCAAAGUUUAUUUGAACAGAUCCCCACUUCCUGGUCUAUAUUUUGGUCCAAAAUCUCAUGAGAACAGACUCUGUCAUGAGAUUUUGUGUCAUAACCUGUUUUGCCUCUGAUCUCUACUCUUCCAGUCAGCUGUUAACAGUCAGGAAGUGCCCUCUCCAUCAGUCAGUUAUUGCUGGAAGGAAUCUUCCUCUUUUAGUCCAAACUCUAAUAUUGCCUGGUAAUAUUCAGCAGACAUCUAUCUAGGCUGUAACCUGCCAAUGAACUCCUACUGGUAUAAUACAUUAACAAUUUCCCAGCAGAUUUUAAUUUACUGUAGCAUUGCCUAGCCUAAUCCACACACAGCACAUUGUAAUGCAAAUGGAAUGAUUAAAUAGAUCACACUUCUCUUCUGCAUCUCAAUUUUUGUCUAAUGUAUCAUUACAGUUCACUCUGUAAACUGUUGAAGCCAUCUUCAUUCAACUGUAAACUAAAGAGACUAGAUGUCUAUCAGCCUAAACCAAAACAGUUCUUGAUUAAUCACAACCUCUUGACCUAAUGAGUGAUAGCUGUGUUAAAAAUGUUGUCAUUAUCUAAAUGGAGUACUGAAAAGUCCUGCAGAUCCUAAGCAAAUUGACUCUCUUCUAUUUAUAAACAAUACUGGAAGAUGAACUCCUGGGUUUAUAUUGGAAAAGGGACAUCAUUCAUUUUUAUCCAACAUACCUGCUUUUAGUGAUAUUACCCACACAUGUGGGUUUUAGAAAAUGUUAACAACUGAAGUGGUUUAUAUGCUUUUAAGACUAAUUUUAAGGUUUAUGUGUACAUUCAUUACACUGGAGUUGGGUGCUCAAUACCUGCCUAAAAUACACAGUAUUAAUAGUGUGCACUAAAACCCUACUUAGGGCUUCAUGUUGAAUGCUAAACAUCAUUAGCACUAGAUGUGAAAUUUUGGUUUUCCAGUAUUUGUAUACAUCUUAUUUACUAUAGCUCAGAGCAUUUCUCCUGCAUGUAGCACAUGCAUCUCUCCAUAUGCAUAUGACAAAGUGAUGAAUCUUUAAAAGUCCUUUUUUGAAGAUAUUACUGAUCUUUUGAUUGAUAAUCUGGUCACAUGCAAGUGAAAAUGCUGUUGUAAAAACAAUCAAAUUAUGUACAGAUUUUCUCUUGUUGCUUUUCAAAUAUUGGCUCUUCCUUUACCCCACAUAUUUGUACAUUUAGUUCCAAUGAAGCCUAGGGAGCUAAAAGGCCUGGAUUACACAUGUCUGUAAUGCUUUACAAUUUCUCUUCCCUUGCAGAUCUAUAUUUGUUAUGGUAUACUUCUCAAUCUUCGCAAGUAUGGUAGUUCUUAAUGGUAUAAAAGAAAAAAUACAUGUACAAUCAACUCUUGUGCGUAGAACAGCACAAGGCCACAAGUUUCUCUUUUAGCAAGUAUUGACUAUUUUAUGUAACUAAAUUAUGUCCCAUAGUAAAGUGGACUAAAAGCACCACUGUAUACAUGUAAAUUAUUGCUACUUGCAAAUUAACAGUAGGAGAGAAUAAAAGGCAGUUUACACAUGAAAGCGCUGGAACUUGAGGCCCUUAUUCACUUGUGCAGUCAUGUGAAUAAAUGAACUGAUGUCAGUAAGGCCCUGAGCCUGCAAAUACUUAUGUGUGACGGCUGCCAUUCUGGCUGAUACCAGGGAUUGUACUGGGAACCUCCAGAGCUAAAGAGCAAAGGCUCCCUAGCUGGGACUGUAAAGAACUUAUAUCGUCUGUGGAUUUGGCACAGAGGGGGGGCACAUAACAUACACUCAACAGUGGGUCAUGCACUUAAUUUUUAAGCAUGGUUAGCAAUGUGGUACAGUUGUAUUGACUUCUUUGAUUCUCAGAUGCUUAAAGUUACGUGCAUCAGUGUUUGCAGGAUUGGGACCUUAGAGUGUGGAUGUCUCAAGGCAGGGAUCUUGGGCCUGAUUCUCCCCUCUCACACACCCCUGUAAAUCUGGAAUAACUCCCCAUGAUUUUACACCACUGCUACUCCCCAUGAGGUCAGUGGAGUAGCACUGGUGUAAAAUCACUGUGAGAGGAGAAUCAGGUCCCUUGCCGGGCACCCGUGACGCUGGACGCAAAUGUGCUUGAUUUUCUAGAAAUUGAAACAGUAACAGUAGAGGGAACCCAGCUCAGACAAGGAAGCAGGAUAUACCUCUAAGCACCGGUUCCAACUAUUUUUUAAUAACAAAUAAGUAGGGAACUCAGUUCAAUACAAGCAGCAUUAAUUUGCAAUCUAUACAGUUGAUAACCCAGUCAGAAACAGACUUAGGCAGCAUUACAGAGGCAAUCUGUACAGAAUGACGAACUAUUCUCAACCAGCGUUUCCUCUAAGAUCAGGGAAGCAUGUCUUCAUUUCCACUUCUUUUUCCUUGAUCAUACAUGUUUGCUGAGGCCAAUGCAAGGAAAAUCCCUCUCUCUAUACUCUUGACCCUUCUGUAAUGUCAGUAGAGAUACUGGGCAGCUGCUAGAUUUAACACAUUUUUAUUUGUAUUGAUCUUGCAUAGAAAAACUUCAGUUUGCUGCAAGAUUUUUAUUUCUGAAGUACCUUAAUCUGUUCCACCAUGGUAAUAGCAUGCCCACAUAUCUUAGACCCUAAUGAUAUUAAUCCCACAUUCUGGCACUAUGAGAUUACAUUACACUGUGUAAUAAUAUAUAACAGUGUAAGACAGCUAAUUAACAAGCAAGUGCCUAUUCAGAAAUGGACUGAAUCAAAAUAAAAUAAAAUAAAUAUCACACGUGUGUGUCUCUGUGUGUGUUCACAUGGUAUUUCCUCUUCAGUCAAAUCCUGAAAAUAAUAGGGAUGUCAUAGGAAAGCUGAUUCAACUGAUUAUUAGGCUGAUUUCUCAACCGAGGAAAAUUGGGAGGGAUAUGGCCUUAUUGUCUAUCUUUUUAUUAGAUUUACACCAUACCUAGAAGGUAAGGUACUUGUGAAUAGCAAGCUCUGUGACCACAGUACAACAGAGGAGGCAC